rnacentral:rRNA from 1 species
CCUACGGGAGGCAGCAGUGAGGAAUAUUGGUCAAUGGGCGCGAGCCUGAACCAGCCAAGUAGCGUGAAGGAUGACUGCCCUACGGGUUGUAAACUUCUUUUAUAAAGGAAUAAAGUGAGGCACGUGUGCCUUUUUGUAUGUACUUUAUGAAUAAGGAUCGGCUAACUCCGUGCCAGCAGCCGGGGUAAUAAGGAGGAUCCGAGCGUUAUCCGGAUUUAUUGGGGUUAAAGGGAGCGUAGAUGGGUUUGUAAGUCAGUUGUGAAAGUGUGCGGCUCAAACGUAAAAUUGCAAUUGAUACUGGCAGCCUUGAGUACAGGUGAGGUAGGCGGAAUUCGUGGUGUAGCGGUGAAAUGCUUAGAUAUCACGAAGAACUCCGAUUGCGAAGGCAGCUUACUAAACUGCCACUGACAUUGAUGCUCGAAAGUGUGGGUAUCAAACAGGAUUAGAUACCCUUGUAGUC